rnacentral:rRNA from 1 species
CCUACGGGAGGCAGCAGUGGGGAAUAUUGCACAAUGGGGGAAACCCUGAUCCAGCGACGCCGCGUGAAGGACGAAGUAUUUCUGUACGUAAACCUCUAUCAGCAGGGACGAAAAUGACGGUACCUGACCAAGAAGCCCCGGCUAACUACGUGCCCGCAGCCGCGGUAAUCCGUAGGGGGCAAGCGUUAUCCGGAUUUCCUGGGUUUAAAGGGAGCGUAGACGGCCAUGCAAGUCUGAUGUGAAAACCCGGGGCUUAACCCCGGGACUGCAUUGGAAACUGUGCGGCUGGAGUGUCGGAGAGGCAAGUGGAAUUCCUAGUGUAGCGGUGAAAUGCGUUGAGAUUAGGAGGAACACCAGUGGCGAAGGCGGCUUGCUGGACGACGACUGACGUUGAGGCUCGAAAGCGUGGGGAGCAAACAGGAUUAGAUACCCCAGUAGUC